CCCUUAGAUGUUCUGGGCCGCACGCGCGCUACACUGAUGCAUUCAACGAGUUUCUUCCUGGUCCGAGAGGAAUGGGUAACCUUUUGAAAGUGCAUCGUGAUAGGGAUAGACUAUUGCAAUUAUUGGUCUUCAACGAGGAAUUCCUAGUAGACGUAGUUCAUCAGACUGCAUCGAUUACGUCCCUGCCCUUUGUACACACCGCCCGUUGCUCCUACCGAUUGAAUGCUCAGGUGAGCCAUUCGGACUUUCAUCAUGCUGGUUUCCAGUUUUGAUGAAGGAAAGUCUUGCGAACCUUAUCAUUUAGAGGAAGGAGAAGUCGUAACA
rnacentral:rRNA from 1 species